rnacentral:lncRNA from 1 species
UAAUCACAGCACAAUCAUUGCAGGCCACAGGGCAGAAAGUGCUAAUGUAGUUUAAAAACAGUACAUUUGAAUCUGGACACUGGCAAGAAAAUAGGCAAAAUAAAUACUUUUGUCCACCCCUCCCUACCCUCUUUUGGUGACUUGGGGUGGCCUGGGUCGGUGCUCAGCCCAGGGUCCCGCGGCCAGAGCCAACCAUGGCGCGCCUGGUCUCCUCCAGAUAAACGCGCGCCCACGUCUCUGCUGGGCUUUGGAAUUAGCUCAAUACUCAUUCAGACGCAGAGUGCGUGUGCCCUGCCAGGACAGACGUCAUUGCUGUGCGGUGCUUGAGUGCCAUCAAUAAGCCACAGAAGAGAAAUCCGGAAACAAGGGACGCGCAGCGUGAUUCCGUGCCACGGCGUCAGGAGCGGCAUGUAGCAUCUUUUGGUUUGAGAGUAAAAUUCCGCAAUCAGAAAUGAAAUCUGUGUCAGGCCUGGGUGCCGCCAGGAGGCCUCCUUCCAGCUCUCUGCAAGCUGGCCCCGUGUUCACGGGCAUCCAGCGGGAUCCACCAUGGAAAGACAGCUUUCUCAGAGGCAUCUCAGCACGUGGGCCCAGCCAGAACCUCGAGGGCUUCUGUCC